ensembl:lncRNA cell surface glycoprotein 1-like
AAGCAAAUUACCGGUUUAUAGCAUCAACAGAAAGCGUCAUGUAUUUCAUUAGUAACACAGACUCAAUUAACGAUUGUAUGGCUCCGAUACGCCUCAGCUCCAUUCACCGAACCUGUGUGGUUACUGCAUACGUUGCAUGAGGGCAGCUGUUGAAGGAAACAACACGUUUACCUGGAAGGGUCAUCUGUUGAAUUUCAGGAAGCCUCACGUUCCCCUUAACGCGGCAGAAGCAAGGCAGCACAACAUUUCCCACUGGUUAGUUAAAUGAACCUUUGAUGUUCCUCAUGUGCGUAACAAGAAUAGUGAGCUUAUAUUACUUUAAAAGCACGUUAAAGCAUGACGCAGGCGGAUUCUUUUCUUUUCUGUAUGUCACAUGACUAAAAUACCAACAGUCGAAAUUGGAAAAAAAAUCCAGUCUAUCAUACGUAACAUAUACCUACAUGCACACCAAUAAAAGCAGUUUGUGGGGUUGCAUGAGUUCAUUCUGUAAAGUCAAAUAAAGUUGGUUCACUAUGACUCGCACCAACGAGAAUGCUGACGGGAGACAAGGGGUUAAAGCUGGGAGGGUAGAGUUUGCAGACCGGGCAGUCGCGGAGGAGGCUGGAUUGUGAUAGCGACAGAUGUCUGAAACUGCGCGAGGGGCACUCCUCAGUUAGAGCCCAGUCCCAGACUGCACCUCGGAGAAGGGGGCGGAAUCUGCAGCUGUCACCCCCGAAGCUUUACCUCCAUUAUCGCGUCCAGCCGGAGCUGGGAGGAGAAACUGAUUACUCUCGGCAAAUUCAGGAUACACAAUGGGAGGCAAACUGAGCAAAAAGAAGAAGGGAUAUGAUGUGAGUGACCCAAAACAGGUGAAGGAUGACUCCACCAGCGCUGGAGGAGAGAAGUCCACUAAAGCGGAGAACGGCGCUGAAACGACAGCUGAGGUCAAGAGUGAGGAAACUGUGGGAUCAAGUGAAGCAGCCGUAACCCAAGCUGUAAAGUCUUCAGAAGAAGACUCGGCACCUCCAGAUGAAAAGGAGAAGGCUGCUCCAGUACAGGAAGCUGUUGCAACAGCGGAAGUUCCAGUAAUAGAAGAAACAUGUGCUGCAGCAGAAGAAGCCACUCUAGUGGCAGAAGUCCCAGCAGCAGCAAUAGAGGAAGCAGAGGAACCCUCUCCAGCUGCAAAAGACCCUGCUCCAGCAAUAGAAGAACCAGAGGAACCCUCUCCAGCUGCAACGGAACCUAUUCCAGCAGUAGAAGAACCAGCUCCAACAGUUGAAGAACCAGCUUCACCUGCAAAGGAACCAGCUCCAGCAGUACAUGAACCUUCUCCAGCUGUAGAACAAUCGGCUCCAGCUGCAGAAGAGCCAUCUCCAGCAGUGGAGGUACCAGUUGCAGCUCCAGUUGUGAAGGAGCCAGAGGAGCAAAUUCCUGCAGAACAAAGCCCAGUAGACGUUGCAGCAGCAACAGUGGAAACCUCUGUUCCAGCAUUAGAAGCAUCUCUGCAAAGCGAGGUUGAACCAGAGGCUGCAGCCACACCUGAAGAGCUCCCUGUUGAAGAACCCGUUGCUGCCUCGGAACCUGUGCCUGAGCCGGUUCUAGCAGGUACCGAGGAAGCGUCCAGUGACCAUUUGCCUGAACCCCCCCCAGAAACUCUUACAUCAGAAGUCACCUUGGAGGAGAGAGUGGUGACUGCUGCUGUCCCUGAACCCGAGUCAGUGGCAGAACCAUCUGCAGAGCAAGUGCUGGAACAAGCUCCAGAAACAGAGCAACUCCACACGCCAGAGCCCGAACAAAUCCAAGAGCCAGAACCGGAGUCAGCUGAGCCAGAACCCAACCCAAAUCCUGAGCAAGACCAGCAGGAGCCAGAACAGGAGCGAGUGGCCGAUACAUUGGAACCUGCAGCAAAGGAAGAAGAAGAAGAAGCUCAGCCGAAGCCAGAAGCAGUAAGAUCUUCAUCAGAGGAGGCGCCUGUUCUCAGUCAGGCUGACGACGAGGAACCGGCCGAAGCAGAAGCAUCCGACACGGAAGCGUCACCGGAGCCAGAAGCAGCAGAACCCGUUUCCCAGAUUGUAGCAGAGGCCUCUGCGGAGGCGGCGUGUUGCCCAGAGCCCAAAGAAGAAUGUAAGAUGGCAAAUGGUGAUUUAGAAAGUGACGUGGCUGAAGCAGACGCGCACCCAGCUGUGAACGGCGGGAGCAAAGCCCAGUGCGCCGCCGACCCAGAGUCAUGUGUGAACGGCGGUGGAAGCCCGGAGGAGACGCCGCUCAAGGAGAAGGGCGACUUUGGGCUCAAAAAGGACCUGAACCUGAGCGAGGACCUCCAGGAAGCCGCCGAUGGCGUUUCGGACACGGCGCAGGGUCUCGGCACCGACGUGACCCAGGCCGUCUGAGGAAGAAACCCACGCGACAUCAAGCUUAAACCCCCGACGGCGCGAGCGAGGCGGCCGUCAAGGUGUCACGAACACAGCGAGGCUUUGAGAAACGCUGGAACCACCGCAGCGUCGGCGGCGCUAACUCAGGCUAAAGAACGUUUCCUUGUGAGCAACCUGAAAUGACAUGCAACCACUGGAGGCUAGAGGGAGGCGGCGGGAGGGAGGGAGGGAGGGAGGGUCAGCGAGGGUCAGGUGAGGAGGAGGAGCCGGGACCAGGUCUGAGUGACGCGAGUGAGCGAGCGGACGAGUCUCGACCGCGACGCCAACGUUCUAAAUGUGAUGUAAACGAAUGAAUAAACCUGUGUUUGUGUGUGAGCCCCA